UUGCCACCUGCCCUGGGCCGGUGCCUUUCAGCCGCACCAUCCCUUGCUUGUUCUUGGCGAGUUGCUGCACACCGAGAGAGGCCAGAGAGCUUCUUCAGGCAGCGCACCCAGCUCGCUGCCAUGCAAGUGCUUCUCCACUGACGUGCUCUUGUGACCCGUGAAUUCUCACGGCUGCUUCUCUGUUUGGUACCCGCAGGGUCCGACCGAAGGCACUGUCUGCGGUUCAGAGCCGAGCUGCUUGGCCAAAUCAGUUCUUAAUCCUGUGAUGCUCAUAGCAGGAAUGAGAGCCAGGGCACCCUUCUCCAUGUGAACGUAGUUUCUUCUUCUCCUUCCAGCCUGAAAACCAUGUGGGAAAGUGCUGGCCCUUGCUGGGAAGUCGGGGACAAGCCUUCAUCAAGCUGUCUGUGCCAAUCCUUCCCAGAGCAGUCACCAUGGACCACGUUUCAGGACAACGUUCCCUGGAGACAGUAUCUGCAGAGCUCCAAAGGACAUGGCUGUCUACAAUACUUGAGGAACGAGAGCGCCUUUCUGGGAGAGCUGGUGUUUGGGAGCGCAGACACCAUUGAACUUUCCUGUGACAGCCACGGCUCUUCUGUGCCUGUUUUCUGGUUUAAAGACGGUAUCGGGAUUGCACCUCCCAGCAGAGCUCGUACUGGGCAGAAGCUGUUGAAGAUCAUCAGUGUGUCAUGCGAUGGCUCAGGGCUGCACAGCUGCAAGGCGAGGCAUUCCGACCAGGUCCUGGGAAACUUUACAGCCAGAGGUACAGAGUGAAGAAUGCGAGACCUCGCGGCUCAGGUAACGAGCAGCCUGCUGCAGUUUCCCGAGGUGACCAUUCAGGCCCUUGGGGA